rnacentral:rRNA from 1 species
GACGAACGCUGGCGGCGUGCCUAAUACAUGCAAGUCGAGCGAAGUUUUUCUGGUGCUUGCACCGGAAAAACUUAGCGGCGAACGGGUGAGUAACACGUAAAGAACCUGCCUCAUAGACUGGGACAACUAUUGGAAACGAUAGCUAAUACCGGAUAACAGCAUUAACUGCAUGGUUGAUGUUUAAAAGUUGGUUUUGCUAACACUAUGAGAUGGCUUUGCGGUGCAUUAGCUAGUUGGUGGGGUAAAGGCCUACCAAGGCGACGAUGCAUAGCCGACCUGAGAGGGUGAUCGGCCACACUGGGACUGAGACACGGCCCAGACUCCUACGGGAGGCAGCAGUAGGGAAUCUUCCGCAAUGGGCGAAAGCCUGACGGAGCAACGCCGCGUGAGUGAAGAAGGAUUUCGGUUCGUAAAGCUCUGUUGUUAGGGAAGAAUGAUUGUGUAGUAACUAUACACAGAGAGACGUACCUAACCAG